rnacentral:tRNA from 1 species
AGCGGGGUGGGGAAGCCAGGUCAUCCCGGCGGGCUCAUAACCCGCAGUUCAGUAGUUCAAAUCUACUCCCCGCUAC